rnacentral:snoRNA from 18 species
UUUCACAUGAUGAUCUAUUCUAGCUUUUUUCUGGCAUCUCUAAUGUUAGGAUGAGAAGUUUAAGUACUCUCCAUUCGAUGAAUACAACCUAUGACUAUAUCUGAAC